UACGGGGGGAGCAAGCGUUGUUCGGAUUUACUGGGCGUAAAGGGCGCGUAGGCGGCCAUCGCAAGUCGACUGUGAAAUCUCCGGGCUUAACCCGGAAAGGUCAGCCGAUACUGCGGGGCUAGAGUGCAGAAGGGGCAACUGGAAUUCUCGGUGUAGCGGUGAAAUGCGUAGAUAUCGAGAGGAACACCUGCGGCGAAGGCGGGUAGCUGGGCCGACACUGACGCUGAUGCGCGAAAGCCAGGGGAGCGAACGGG
rnacentral:rRNA from 1 species